rnacentral:rRNA from 1 species
AUUGGAUUGAGAACAAUGUACAAGAGUUAUCGAUAAACAAUUGGAGGGCAAGUCUGGUGCCAGCAGCCGCGGUAAUUCCAGCUCCAAUAGCGUAUAUUAACGUUGUUGCAGUUAAAAAGCUCGUAGUUGAAGUGUGGGGUAUAAAUGAAUUGACUUUUUCAAAGUGAAUGAAUGAAUACCCCCUCUCCAAUAAGUCUGUAUGGGUAUUAAGUUAUUUGUACUGGCUGUUGGUCAUUUACUGUGAGAAAAUUAGAGUGUUCAAAGCAGGCAUUUGCUUGAAUAUGUUAGCAUGGAAUAAUAAUAAAAGGCUUUUAUGGUCGAUUUAAUUGGUUUGUUCAUGAAAGCAAGAUUAAAAGGGACAGUUGGGGGUAUUCAUAUUCAAUAGUUAGAGGUGAAAUUCUCGGAUUUAUGGAAGAUGAACUAGUGCGAAAGCAUUUACCAAGGAUGUUUUCAUUAAUCAAGAACGAAAGCUAGGGGAUCGAAGAGGCUUAGAUACCCUCGUAGUCUUAGCUAUAAACUAUACCGACUAGGGGUUAGUAGAAGUCAUUGUGUUUCUAUUAGUACCUUAUGAGAAAUCAAAGUCUUUGGGUUCCGGGGGGAGUAUGGUCGCAAGGCUGAAACUUAAAGGAAUUGACGGAAGGGCACCACCAGGAGUGGAGCCUGCGGCUUAAUUUGACUCAACACGGGGAAACUUACCAGGUCCAGACAUAGGAAGGAUUGACAGAUUGAUAGCUCUUUCUCGAUUCUAUGGGUGGUGGUGCAUGUCCGUUCUUAGUUGGUGGAGUCAUUUGUCUGGUUAAUUCCGAUAACGANCGAGACCUCCGCCUGCUAACUAGUUCAUUGUAUUUUGAUAGAAUAAUCUUCUUAGAGGGCCCCUAUCCGUAUGAGUGUAGGGAAGCUGGAGGCAAUAUCUGGUCUGUGAUGCCCCUGGAUUUUCCGGG